rnacentral:rRNA from 1 species
CGGGUGGCAGCAGUAGGGAAUCUUGCGCAAUGGGCGAAAGCCUGACGCAGCGACACCGCGUGGAGGAUGAAGGUUUUCGAAUCGUAAACUCCUGUCAAUAGAGGAAGAAGGUAUUAUAGGUGAAUAGCUUAUAAUAUUGACGGUACUCUGUAAGGAAGCCCCGGCUAACUACGUGCCAGCAGCCGCGGUAAUACGUAGGGGGCAAGCGUUUUCCGGAUUUAUUGGGCGUAAAGCGCACGCAGGUGGCUUUUCAAGUCGGGUGUGAAAUCUCUUAGAAAAACUAAGAAAUUGCAUCCGAAACUGGAUUGCUUGAGGUCGGGAGAGGAGAGUGGAAUUCUCGGUGUAGCGGUGAAAUGCGCAGAUAUCGAGAAGAACACCAUUAGCGAAGGCGGCUCUCUGGAACGAUACUGACACUAAGGUGCGAAAGCUAGGGUAGCAAACAGGAUUAGAUACCCGUGUAGUC